rnacentral:rRNA from 1 species
CCUACGGGGGGCUGCAGUGGGGAAUAUUGCACAAUGGGCGCAAGCCUGAUGCAGUCAUGCCGCGUGUGUGAAGAAGGCCUUCGGGUUGUAAAGCACUUUCAGCGGGGAGGAAGGCGUUAAGGUUAAUAACCUUGGCGAUUGACGUUACCCGCAGAAGAAGCACCGGCUAACUCCGUGCCAGCAGCCGCGGUAAUACGGAGGGUGCAAGCGUUAAUCGGAAUUACUGGGCGUAAAGCGCACGCAGGCGGUCUGUCAAGUCGGAUGUGAAAUCCCCAGGCUCAACCUGGGAACUGCAUUCGAAACUGGCAGGCUAGAGUCUUGUAGAGGGGAGUAGAAUUCCAGGUGUAGCGGUGAAAUGCGUAGAGAUCUGGAGGAAUACCGGUGGCGAAGGCGGCCCCCUGGACAAAGACUGACGCUCAGGUGCGAAAGCGUGGGGAGCAAACAGGAUUAGAUACCCCUGUAGUC